rnacentral:rRNA from 1 species
GACGAACGCUGGCGGCGUGCUUAACACAUGCAAGUCGAACGGAAGGGCCCUGCUUUUGUGGGGUGCUCGAGUGGCGAACGGGUGAGUAACACGUGAGUAACCUGCCCUUGACUUUGGGAUAACUUCAGGAAACUGGGGCUAAUACCGGAUAGGAGCUCCUGCUGCAUGGUGGGGGUUGGAAAGUUUCGGCGGUUGGGGCUGGACGCGCGGCUUAUCAGCUUGUUGGUGAGGUAGUGACUUACCAAGGCUUCGACGGGUAGCCGGCCUGGGAGGGUGACCGGCCACAUUGCGACUGCGAGACGGCCCAGACUGCUACGGGAGGCAGAAGGGGGGAGUAUGGCACAAUGGGCGGAAGCCUGAUGCGGAGACGCCGCGUGCGGGAUGACGGCCUUCGGGGUGUAAACCGCUGUCGACUGUGACGAAGCGUGAGUGACGGUAAUGGGUAAAGAAGCACCGGCUAACUACGUG